GAGCUGAGCAAUGGGCAUUAUAGAGGGCAUUUGUGUCGAGCACUGGGUAUUCUAUGUAAGUGACGAAUUACUAACUUCUACUUCUGAAAACAAUAUUACACUAUAUGUUAACUAAGUAGAAUUUAAAUAAAAAUUUUAAAUAUUAAGAAAAUCAAAUG